AUUCCAGCUCCAAUAGCGUAUAUUAAAGUUGUUGUGGUUAAAAAGCUCGUAGUUGGAUCUCGGCGGUCUGAGGGCGGUUCGCUUCAGAGCGCUACUGCCCUAUAGACCGUAGUUUUGCCAGAGGUCUCAGGGUGCUCUUAACCGAGUGUCUUGCGAUGCUGGCAGGUUUACUUUGAAAAAAUUAGAGUGCUCAAAGCAGGCUUUUACGCCUGAAUAUUCGUGCAUGGAAUAAUAGAAUAGGAAGUCGUUUCUAUUUUGUUGGUUUUCGGAAAUCGACUUAAUGAUUAAUAGGGCCAGUUGGGGGUAUUCGUAUUCCGUUGUCAGAGGUGAAAUUCUUGGAUUUACGGAAGACGAACGACUGCGAAAGCAUUUACCAAGGAUGUUUUCAUUA
rnacentral:rRNA from 1 species